rnacentral:rRNA from 1 species
CAGUCGCCGCGGUAAUACAGAGGGUGCGAGCGUUAAUCGGAUUUACUGGGCGUAAAGCGUGCGUAGGCGGCUUCUUAAGUCGGAUGUGAAAUCCCUGAGCUUAACUUAGGAAUUGCAUUCGAUACUGGGAAGCUAGAGUAUGGGAGAGGAUGGUAGAAUUCCAGGUGUAUCGGUGAAAUGCGUAGAGAUCUGGAGGAAUACCGAUUGCGAAGGCAGCCAUCUGGCCUAAUACUGACGCUGAGGUACGAAAGCAUGGGGAGCAAACAGGAUUAGAUACCCCAGUAGUCCCUGUCUCUUAUAA